rnacentral:tRNA from 1 species
GCAAUGGUGGUUCAGUGGUAGAAUUCUCACCUUUUAUGAGGGAGACCUGGGUUCAAUUCCUGGCCAUUGCC